AAGCAUGGGUGAUAGUUCCAUGAUACUGGCUGAGUUUGCAAUAGCAGGUGGAACCCUAACUAUUGAGGGAGUUUGCAGAUACCUCAGGAUUCGUGACAAUGCCUUUAAAGAUCCAGGAGAGAUGUUCAGCUACUAGGAACUGCUAGCAAGUAUAGCGCGAAUGGCUCCGAGCUCAGACACUCUACAGCUGAGAGUAGACACUUGUGGUAUGUGGAGUACAGAUAAGCCAGGGGCAGGCCACGGCACGCUCCAUGAAAGCUAGGAGGGAGUGAAAUAUCAGUGAUCAUCGCAAGGAAGGAGGCAGACAAGAGUAAGGCACACCUGACUCUUAGGACUAGCAGUCAGAACCAGGAGGAAAGGUUUUAUUGCUAUGCGGGUAGGUAAGAACAGAUUUUACUUACAUCCAUAUAGUUACUUAAAGUCCAGUUUUCUGUUAAAACAUUUUUCUUAAUAUAUUGAGCCAAAACUAGUCCAGUUAAGCUGAACUUGGUUUUUCUGGAGAUGAAUUGUUUUAAAUUGACACCCUAUUGGUGGCUCCCAGUUGAAGGAAGUGAGCACAUUAUUUGUACUGUGAAUAUAAAUUUUUGCCCUUUUAUUUAUCUUCUUUUGACCCAUUUCCUUAAAAUAAUGGCUCAAAGUAAUAGACUCUUCCCCAAAUGGUGGGGGGAUGGGUGGGUUAUUAAUGGGAGGUAUGGGGGGUUUAGCUUGAGAUGGGACUUGGUCUUAGAGCUAGUUCUAAAGGUUGUUUACUUUUCUAGGGAGGAGUCUGCUACUAGUCUUAUCAGCUCUUAAAAACAGAAACUCAUCUGUCCCAGUUCGUGGCAGAAAGGAACGUCCUUGUGAAGACCUUUAUCUGAGCCACUGUACUUCGUUAUCACUGCCAUGCAGUUUACAUGAGCUGUUCUGCAGCUCAAAUUCCAUUUUGUGA
rnacentral:sRNA from 1 species